rnacentral:lncRNA from 1 species
UAACCAUGAUAUGCUGCUAGGUGUCACUCAUGGUUUGUGGAAGCCCUAAACGUGUGUAAUCACUAAAGGGAGAAUUGAAAAUAGUUUCAAUUCACAAUCGAUGUAAAAUAGUUUUAAUCGCCCACUACCUCGCUAAAAGGAACCUAAUGGAUCGCACACCAUAAAAGGUAGAGAUUGAAGAUUAAACGGAAAUGAGUAAGAAUGAUUAAAUGGUUUAAUCAUUUAUUUAUGGCAAGGAUUAAUUAAUAUGUUAAUUAAUCAAACGAAUAAGUUCGUUAAAUGACUUCGGGAUAGUUUUGGACCUUAAGGCCCAAUGGGCUUCGAACGUCAAGCCCAUUAACUUAAGUUGUAUGACAAUUUAAUGAAUAAAGAUUCAUUAAAGCCCAAAAGCCCAAAACUCCCUAAAUGGCCGGCCAUAUUGUGAUGAAUUAGGGUUUUGGUUAUUUAGGUCACUUAAAGAAGUGACUAUAUAAAUGACUUUAUAGCCAAAUAUUCAUUAAGGAUUAAAAGGGUUUAUUUUGGGGGAAAAUUGGUGAGAAUUGUCUCUCCAUUUUCUCUCUAAAGAGGCCAACACCUUGGAGGGUACAUCUAGCAAUCCUACUACUCCAAGGUCACUCAUUUUCUUCUACAAUCAAACCUUGGUGAAGAGACUUAGAGGUUCCCUAUUUUGGGAACUUGGAGAAACCUAUUUUUCCAUCCAAAUCCAUGGAUCUAAGAAGCAAGGAAUGAAGGCCCUAUCUCUUUGGGUGAUUAGCCUUUGCUUAUGCAAAGAGGAAUCUACAAAGGUAAUAAUUUCAACUCACUUUGUUUUGAGUUGAUUAAUGGUUCACCAAUCUACUAGGCUUUGAAUUUCAUGGUAAUGUUUUGUUUUUGAGUGCAUGCAAGCAUGAUUCCGCCUUUAAUUGUUAAUUGCAUGCUAUAUGAUGUUGCUCAAAUGAACAUGUUUUUCAAAAUAAAUCCUUCAUAUAUAUAUAUAUAUAUAUAUAUACAAGUAUAUGAUAUAUUAAUUUUGGAAAUGAAAAAGAAUACUUCUUCGUUAAAGUUAUGACUUUAAACAUUCUAUAACGAUAAAAUGUAUAUGGGAGACAUAGUCUAUAAACAUGGGAUGGAAAUCUAUAAUGAUAGAUUUCAGGAUAUAAUUGGAUUAUAUCAAGCCCUAAUGAUAGACAAAAGAUGCUAGGAAGUUUCUCGUAUGAUGAUAAACUUCAAUCAGAAGAACAACUCUAGUAAGACUAGGAGGUAGCUCUUCUCAAACGGAACGUACCCUUUGACUCCCAAAGAAAUAAUACUUAAAUAGAAUCCUUUAUAUACGCAGAAAAGUAAUUUACGUAUUUCAUAUUGUAUGAAAACAUUGAUAUGAGUUGUACCUAGAACGAUACAAGACAAUAUCAGUGCAAGCCCAGGAUCAGAACCAUGGCAACUGUCAAGUGAGUCCUUAAGUAUUUUAGAAAUACUAAAGGAUAGAUUUCUCAAAGAAUGAGGAAGAAUUAGAGUAACGUAAUGGAAGCGUAAAUGUAUUAGAUUAUGAAUCUAAUCCAUCAUUGGAUGUUUCUUCAUUAUGAAUGAAGAGAUAAUCAGAUAUCUCUUUAUUCUGACCAAAGAGAUAUUUGGAUGGAAACAUUAAAAGUAAUGACUUUAGUGUGUUCCAUUAUGAAUGCAAAAUAUAUUGCCAUAUAGAAGCUAACAACAAUGUUGUUUGGAUGGGAAAGUUCAUUUAUGAACUCUCUAUUCGGUUCCAACCAGAAAGUGUCUCUAGUGUACCGACACUACGACACUAAUGGGGCGAUAGCUCAAGCCAGGGAAUCAAGGUCUCAUCAAGAUCCGAACUUAAAUGAGAGACUGAACCACAUGAUUGAGAAUCAUGUAUAAUGGUGACGUCGUUAUUCUCAAGGUUGCUUCUAUGGAUAACAUAUAGAUAUCCAUUGUCUAGACCUACUACUUAGCCAUUUUUGAAAUGACUAAAGAAGAGGUAUCAUCACUGAUGACCAAGCUGAUUGGCUCUAGUGCAAGUGGAAGAUUGUUGGAAAUGUGCCUUAAAACCAAUCAUGUGAUGAUACUUUACGGACAUUUCACAUGUUAAACUAAUCUAGUUUAAUAUCAAGGGCAAAGAUUAUUGUUUUAAGCCGUCUCAUAUAAAUGUUAUAUGCUUAAACGAUAAGUCCAAGGAAUAUGUAAUUAGGAGAAUGUAAUUUAAACAAGUUAGAUUUAUGAGACCAUUCUCUUUCGUAUACAUAUCCUAAACGUUCCUGAUCAUAGUAUUGCCAAUUAGGCAUUGACAGUCCAUUAAGAUCAGUACGUGCUGUGUCUUCUCUCAUGGAGAGUGACUGGUCUCGAGUCAUUGGUGUGAUUGACACCAAGACAAGCAUGUAGGUGCUCAAUAGCGAAUGAGUCCACUGAACACGAUUAACGAGGAGUCCUCAUACUCAUGUCACAUGAGAAUUCAUGGUUAGGAUAAUGCAAAGUAGUCCUUUGACCUGAGGCAUCAUAGUUGUCUUGUGGUUAAGUCCUUGAUCUUUAACUAUGUCAAAGUCACUCCAUUCGAGGGUGUCCACGGCAUAGUUGGGGUUAAGCCACUUAACCAUGGAGGCAAGUAAAUGCGCAACAAGGGAUCUCUAACUUUCAAACCGUUUGAGGGAGAAUACUCUAUGAUAUGAUUAAGAAUCUCUGGCCAGAGUAUGAAUGAGAUUUAGGAAGUCAUUCCAAAUCACAUUCAAGGUAAUCAUAUAAGUAAAUGAAUCACAUUGGAUAGUAGACAUGAUUAAACUAUCAAUCCAAACAAUGUGGUCAAGAGUAUUGUAUUAGAGAAAGACCGUAUUGCAUUGUAAUCCUAAACUGAAUAGGUUCUCCACCUCUUCUGAUUAGCUUGGGUAACCAUGACAUACUGCUAGGUGUCACUCAUGGUUUGUGGAAGCCCUAAACGUGUAUAAUCCCUAAAGGGAGAAUUGAAAGUAAGUUUCAAUUCACAAUCGAUUUGAAAGAGUUCUAAUCGCCCACUGCCUCGCUAAAAGGAACCUAAUAGAUUGUACACCGUGUAAGGUAGAGAUUGAAGAAACAAUGGAGAUGAUUAAGAAUAAUUAAAUGGUUUAAUUAUUUAUGGCAAUGAUUAAUUAAUAUGUUAAUUAAUCAAACAAAUAAAGUUCGUUAAAGACCUCGGGUUAGUUUUGGGCCUCAAGGCCCAAUGAGCUUCGAACGUCAAGCCCAUUGACUUAAGUUGUAUGACAACUUAAUGACUAAAUGUUCACAAAGGCCCAAAUAGCCCAAUAACACCCUAUGGCCGGCCAUAUUGAUAAUGGAGUGGGUUUUGGACUUAUUACAAGUUUGUCAC